AAGUGUGAUUCAUUAUGAUUAUUGCUGGGGUGACAGCCAUUACCAAUCUCAGAAAAGCCUGUUUCAUGCAGCAUCUCUUCAGGAAGGACUUAAUUGGCUUCCAGGAGAAGUGAGGAUGAACAGGGGAGGUGGUUUCAGAGCAAAAUGCAGGUGGAAAUGCCAAUAAGGGAACUAAUCACCUGUCUGUAAGGAUGACUUUAAAAGAUGGAGACACUGCCCAUCAUGAGCACCACUGGGACUCAUCAACUCUGUUUGAACAGGCUGCUGGUAAGCACCAGGAGAUGCCACCGGACGGGAUAAAAAAAAUCCCCCAAACUAUGGAUCCAACCUGUCAAACCCACAGCUUGCCCACAAAGAAGUCGGUGGGAAUUGUACGUGCUCAGCACUUCUGGAGAAAGACAGGCAAGGCCGUGCAAGUCUCUAAGCAGGCAGUAGGUCAGCCUACAUUGAAAUGGACAGCUAUUUUCUUUACACAGAGGGACCACCACGUUGCAAAUGGUGCCUACAAAACGUAUGCCUUUGUGGCGGGGUGG